GAUGAACGCUGGCGGCGUGCCUAACACAUGCAAGUCGAACGGAGCCCUUUCGGGGGCUGAGUGGCGCACGGGUGAGGAACACGUAGCUGACCUGCCUUCCAGCGGGGGGAUAACGUCCCGAAAGGGAUGCUAAGACCGCAUAAGCUCACGGGCUCUAGAGGCCUGAGAGAAAAAGCUUCGGCUACUGGAAGAGGGGGCUGCGGCCCAUCAGGUAGUUGGCGGGGUAACGGCCCACCAAGCCGACGACGGGUCGGGGAUCUGAGAGGAUGAUCCCCCACACUGGGACUGAGACACGGCCCAGACUCCUACGGGAGGCAGCAGUGAGGGAUAUUGCACAAUGGGCGAAAGCCUGAUGCAGCGACGCCGCGUGGGUGAUGAAGGUCUUCGGAUCGUAAAGCCCUUUUCUGCAUGACGAGAACGGACGGUAGUGCAGGAAUAAGUCUCGGCUAACUACGUGCCAGCCGCCGCAGUAAGAC
rnacentral:rRNA from 1 species